rnacentral:rRNA from 1 species
UACAGAGGUCUCAAGCGUUGUUCGGAUUCAUUGGGCGUAAAGGGUGCGUAGGCGGCGCGGUAAGUCGGGUGUGAAAUCUUGGAGCUUAACUCCGAAACUGCAUUCGAUACUGCCGUGCUUGAGGACUGGAGAGGAGACUGGAAUUUACGGUGUAGCGGUGAAAUGCGUAGAGAUCGUAAGGAAGACCAGUGGCGAAGGCGGGUCUCUGGACAGUUCCUGACGCUGAGGCACGAAGGCCAGGGGAGCAAACGGGG